ensembl:lncRNA
CUACACUGUAAAAACGAUAACUAGCAAUUGUUGAUUUCACUAAAGUUUUUAAAUUAAACUGACUUAGAAAUAAAACUUUCCUUUACAACCUAAAAAAGCUUGUCUACCCAACAAAUUUCUUUCAUUGUUGUCCUAACUAAGAUUUUCUAGACAGCAUAACAAAGAUUAUCAACUUUUGAGCAGAGUUUCUGAGUCAAGUUGGGAACCAGUGGGAAACCCCGUAGAUGACUGGCACAUGUGGUCUGAACAAGUUUGAACUAAACCAAACGGACUUUCAACUGAGCCUGAGCAGACCUGAGCUGUGUGAUAGUGGUUUACCAUGUGUUCUAGACUAAAAACCUCCUAAGAAAAUUUGAACCAUCGUGGCUAGAUUUGGAUGUAAAAUGCAAUUUUUCGACCAUUGAGGAUUUUCACUUCUGCAGUUUUGGACAGGUGCUGGAGCUGCCGACCAUUUACCCUAGCAGAGUUCAUGCAGUGCCGAUUUUGCAAAUUCACAAGCUCCAGUCAAGAGACUCUUGUGAAACAUUUCCGCCUUCAUCACGGACAAGAUAUCUGAAGAAUUUCAUCGGAUCACAAGCAAAGACCUCCUGGGGACGUUCAAUGCAUCCCUGGACAAAUUUGUGCCUGGCCUGCUGAAACUAUACCGGUCUAAGAAGGGAGCUCUUGGUGAGGAGAUGGAAGACAUCUUGGAUAAACUUGAUGAACAGACAUCUGACAUUGUGUCCCACCAAAAGACAGCAGCACUGAGAGGCCUGCCCAUUUUCCUCGGAGAGGAUGCAACACAGGUUUUCCUGAAGUGCUUAGACACUGACAUUUUGGAACCAGUGUUGAACGGUGCAUCAGUUGCCAUCCUCACCAUCCUGCAAGAUGACGAUGCCGAUACGUCUGUGCGAGAACAUGCUGUUGUGUUGGAAGGGGACAUCGUGCUACAUAACAUUCCAGACCUCUCUACUGCCUUGGCAUACCUCUUUGGCCUUCUGUAUGCCCUCAACAUUGAUUAUCCAAAGCAGAUGAGUUUACCUUUGAAGCAAUUCAGGGCAUCUUUUUUGAACUCGGUGGCUCUCGAUGCUCACAGCGCAUAAGGUCUCUAAAAACAAAGCUUUUGCUGUGACUGUUAACGGGGAAGCCAGACAUGAGUUUAACUUGUUCUUAAACAUGUUCAAGUGCAUUGUAGAGUCAUGUAAAAAAACAAAACAAAACCCAGUAGUUCAACCCAUUUCCCUCUAUAUAAUCGUUCAUUUUACCUGAUAGUUCACUGUUCAUUGAUGGUAACAUUUCUAAUAACUUUUGACUUCUGUAGUUCAUCAUAGUGAGCCCAUGUAAAAUGUCAAUGUCUGGGUACAAAGGCAAUUGUUUGUUGCACUACCCUAUUUAGUGUGCAAUAGUUAAGUUAAGCUUUUACAGGACAGUCAGGGUGUGAACGUGAAUGACUAAGCUGCUGGACACUUUUCUUUUUUUCUGGACUCUGGAAUUUUAAUGUCUCUGCUGGGGUGCUCAAAGCACCCUAAAGAAACUGGCAACACGUUUUUUUCUGUUUGUUUGCUUUUUUACAGAAAUUCACCCCACUGCCCAUGACCUUCUGAAAUAUACUGAAAGCACUGUUGAAAAAAAUAAAUACGUUUUUACAUAA